GGUGUCAUAGCCAAGUGGUAAGGCAUGAGUCUGCAAAACUCUGAUCCCGGGUUCGAAUCCCGGUGACACCUCCA
rnacentral:tRNA from 1 species